UCGAGGGGUGGAUGGAGCUUGCUUCAUUGAGACCGGCGCACGGGUGCGUAACGCGUAUGCAACCUACCUUUCACAGGGGGAUAGCCCAGAGAAAUUUGGAUUAAUACCCCAUGGCAUAUAGACUUCGCAUGGAGCUUAUAUUAAAGUCACAACGGUGAAAGAUGGGCAUGCGUCCCAUUAGCUUGUUGGUAAGGUAACGGCUUACCACGGCUACGAUGGGUAGGGGUCCUGAGAGGGAGAUCCCCCACACUGGUACUGAGACACGGACCAGACUCCUACGGGAGGCAGCAGUGAGGAAUAUUGGACAAUGGGCGCAAGCCUGAUCCAGCCAUGCCGCGUGCAGGAUGAAGCAUCUAUGGUGUGUAAACUGCUUUUGUGCGGGAAGAAACACUGCUUCGUGAAGCAGCUUGACGGUACCGUAAGAAUAAGGAUCGGCUAACUCCGUGCCAGCAGCCGCGGUAAUACGGAGGAUCCAAGCGUUAUCCGGAAUCAUUGGGUUUAAAGGGUCCGUAGGCGGGCUAAUAAGUCAGUGGUGAAAUCUCCCCGCUCAACGGGGAAACGGCCAUUGAUACUGUUAGCCUUGAAUUAUUAGGAAGUAACUAGAAUAUGUAGUGUAGCGGUGAAAUGCUUAGAUAUUACAUGGAAUACCGAUUGCGAAGGCAGGUUACUACU
rnacentral:rRNA from 1 species